rnacentral:lncRNA from 1 species
CCCUGUGAAGUGGGGUUGUGAUCCUCAGUGGACUUUUUGGCUUGGAUCACAGGGGCCUGGCACACAGUGGGCAACAGUGUGUGUGUGUGUCUGUCUGUCUGUCUGUCUCCAUGUCCUUCCUGGCCCUGUCCAGUCAUUGAGGAGAGUCUGCUACUGCCUAUCUACACGCCUCCACGGUGUGAGGGCACCGUGAGGAGGUCACACACAGUCUGAGGCCCGACAGGAGAAAGAGGGAGGUGGCGUCUUCUUGGCUGAGCUGGAAUCGUCCAGAGAAUGUCCCCGCAUAUAUGCCACAUGUGUGAAAGUGUGUGUGUGUGUGUGUUGGCGUGAGUAUGUAUUGUGUUGGUGUGUACAGGUUGUAUGCAUCUGUUCGUAAGUACACAUGUGCACACAUAUGUUAGUGUAUAUGUGUGCAUGCGUUCACAAGUGUGUGUGCAUGUGUUGUGUACAAUGUGUUUGUGUAUACGUGUAUGUGUGCAUGUGUUAGUGCUUGCAUGUGUGUGUGUGUGUACGCAUGCACGCAUCCCUGUGCACAUCUAUGUGUGUGUGUGUGCUUGUGCGUGUGCCUUCGUGGGUAUAUAAAGUGGGCCAGGAGGAAGAGGAGAGAGGCAGCCGCUGGAUGUUUGGUUUCCUUCAAUGACCCAGUGACUCAGGAAAGUCCUCUGGCACAUAUCUCGGGAGCCAGGGAGCAGGACCUGACUCUGGUGGUCCUGAAAAGCCACGACAGAUGCUCGCGGCAGCCCCCGCGCUGGCAGCGGGGAGACAACACCCACCUCGGGGCCGGAGGAGACCAGAAGGCCGUCAGCGCGGAACAUCUGGGCACAUCUCAAAUGUGCGGCUUCCUGUAGGGUCGCCUUGGCCCGGAAACCACAGGAAUCUGCCCUCGCGCUGUGGGGGAGAGCGAGUUUCCAGGCUCUGAGCACUUAUCACACGUCGUUUUGUGUGUCUGCCUCUGGGUGGCUUCCCCUGCACUGUCCCACGGCGUCACAGGGCCAGGGACACGGCUGGGGCCUGAUCCACGCUUGAACAGGGGUUGCCAGACUCUAUCCAAAACCUCACGGCGCUUUCCAAGUUCCAGCAUCGCCUGGCUGCUCCCGGCAGCUUCCAGUCUUGCAUUUCUCCUGCUGCCAGUGAUUCAGACCAAAGCCUUCCACGUGCCCCCUGCCUCCCCCGACCCCAUCAGCUGACUUCCCUUCUCACUGGUACCCGCGCCCGUUUCCUCCUCCCUCCACCCACAUACCCCCCCCCCCCCNNNNNNNNNNNNCCCCCCCCCCCAGGACCCGUUUACCUUCGGAAGCUGCUCCCCCCGGUUCCUCUUUUAGAGGCUACGAGCGUGCUGUGUGUUUGGCCUCUGGCUCACGGAGGACCAGAAAAACAAAAUUUAUCAUCUGACUGUCCUAUUUUUUUUUUUUUCUUUCUUUCCAUUUUAUUUCCCCCUAAGAAUGAAGCCAGCACUUCGCCGCCAUGCUCCGAGGGAGCAUCAGACAUGGCAGGCCACAGGCAAAAGCGUCUCCUCCUCCUUAGAGAGAAGGAAUGCAGCCGUUAACAAUAAAAAAAAAAAAAAAAAAAAAAAAAAAAAAAAANGAUUUAUGGAGGCCUUGGGCUUAUGAGCCGUCUCACAUCCGUUAGCCAGCGUGACACAGCCAUCCAGGGGGGCGAAGCUGGAGUCCCAGCUCCAUCUGAGAGACAGAGAAACUGGCUCCGGAGCACAGGUCCUGGGACCCGGCUAAGCCCCCAGCUGCCCAAGCUGGUGAAAUUUCCUUGCAUAUGUAUGUAUGAACCGGGCUGAUUUGCUCAAUGAAAACAUUAAAAAUACAUGGUUUGUU